rnacentral:rRNA from 1 species
AGGAUAAACGCUGGCGGCGUGCCUAACACAUGCAAGUCGAACGUCCUACGCAAGUAGGGAGUGGCGGACGGGUGAGUAACACGUGGGCAAUCUACCUUUCGGUGAGGAAUACCGGCGAGAAAUCGCCGACAAUACCGCAUACGCUUCGCAAGAAGCAAAGUCGCAAGACGCCGGAGGAGGAGCCUGCGCCCGAUUAGCUGGUUGGUGAGGUAAGAGCUCACCAAGGCGACGAUCGGUAGC